rnacentral:piRNA from 1 species
UUGAAUGCUGAUGGAUGCUCAC